CCCGUACACAUCACUGAAAGCCGGUUGUACCCGAAGUCAUCUUUAGCUAACCGACAAGGGAGCAGAUGCCGAAGGUAUGGCUGGUGGAUUGGGAUG
rnacentral:rRNA from 1 species